GUGCCAGCCGCCGCGGUAAUACGAAGGGUGCAAGCGUUACUCGGAAUUACUGGGCGUAAAGCGUGCGUAGGUGGUUUGUUAAGUCUGAUGUGAAAGCCCUGGGCUCAACCUGGGAAUUGCAUUGGAUACUGGCAGGCUAGAGUGCGGUAGAGGGUAGUGGAAUUCCCGGUGUAGCAGUGAAAUGCGUAGAGAUCGGGAGGAACAUCCGUGGCGAAGGCGACUACCUGGACCAGCACUGACACUGAGGCACGAAAGCGUGGGGAGCAAACAGGAUUAGAUACCCCAGUAGUCC
rnacentral:rRNA from 1 species